rnacentral:rRNA from 1 species
UCUGAAUAUGGGGGGACCAUCCUCCAAGGCUAAAUACUCCUGACUGACCGAUAGUGAACCAGUACCGUGAGGGAAAGGCGAAAAGAACCCCGGCGAGGGGAGUGAAAAAGAACCUGAAACCGUGUACGUACAAGCAGUGGGAGCACGCUUAGGCGUGUGACUGCGUACCUUUUGUAUAAUGGGUCAGCGACUUAUAUUCUGUAGCAAGGUUAACCGAAUAGGGGAGCCGAAGGGAAACCGAGUCUUAACUGGGCGUUAAGUUGCAGGGUAUAGACCCGAAACCCGGUGAUCUAGCCAUGGGCAGGUUGAAGGUUGGGUAACACUAACUGGAGGACCGAACCGACUAAUGUUGAAAAAUUAGCGGAUGACUUGUGGCUGGGGGUGAAAGGCCAAUCAAACCGGGAGAUAGCUGGUUCUCCCCGAAAGCUAUUUAGGUAGCGCCUCGUGAAUUCAUCUCCGGGGGUAGAGCACUGUUUCGGCAAGGGGGUCAUCCCGACUUACCAACCCGAUGCAAACUGCGAAUACCGGAGAAUGUUAUCACGGGAGACACACGGCGGGUGCUAACGUCCGUCGUGAAGAGGGAAACAACCCAGACCGCCAGCUAAGGUCCCAAAGUCAUGGUUAAGUGGGAAACGAUGUGGGAAGGCCCAGACAGCCAGGAUGUUGGCUUAGAAGCAGCCAUCAUUUAAAGAAAGCGUAAUAGCUCACUGGUCGAGUCGGCCUGCGCGGAAGAUGUAACGGGGCUAAACCAUG